UGAUCCAUGUGAACCUUACCUAUCGUUGCUUCGGCGGUCACGCCCCCGGCAGGGCACCGCCAGGGCCCGGACCGAGGCGCCCGCCGGAGACCCCAAACCCUCUGUCUUUAGUGGCCUGCCCUUUCACAGGACAUAAACAAAUAAAUAAAAACUUUCAACAACGGAUCUCUUGGCUCUCAUGCCCCGAUGAAGAACGCAGCGAAAUGCGAUAAGUAAUGUGAAUUGCAAAUUUCAGUCAAUCAUCGAAUCUUUGAACGCACAUUGCGCCCGCCAGUAUUCUGGCGGGCAUGCCUGUUCGAGCGUCAUUUUCAACCCUCAGGCCCCCAGUGCCUGGCGUUGGUUGGCCGCCGGCGUGCCUGCUCCUCCAGAAGGAGGGGCCCCGAAGGGCCAGCUAGCUCAGUGGCGGUCUCGCUGUAGCCCUCCUCCGCGUAGUAGCACAACCUCGCGGCCUGGAGCUCGGCGGUGGCCAUGCCGUAAAACACCCCACGGAACUUGCUGGAACGCGCCCCCAGGUAGGAAUACCCGGUGAACUUAAGCAUAUCAAUAAGCGGAGGAA
rnacentral:rRNA from 1 species